GCCUCUCUGGCGGCAUUAGUUACCAGAUUCAUUCAGUGACAGCCUUAGGAUAAGGAAGUCCUUUAUUUUCAUUGUUGAAAUAGGCGGCAACUCUCUCUCUUACUUUCUUUCAUUUAGUUAGGCGUGGUAAAGGAUCUCGCUCGAAAGAGACUCUUCACCUACUCAAUUGGAAUGACUCUUACCCUUACUUAUCUCUUUACUCAGAGAAGUCCCUCUCGGAGGUUCCAUAAGAUUCACUUUGUUGAGAGGUGUAGACGCUUAAGCUGGGAACGGCAGUAAGGCCCCUAUUGAGAUGAUUUUUUUUCACUUCUUUCAAUUAGCCACUAGGUGAAGUACCAAGAAGAGGAUCGGCUGAAGCCAUAACCAAUACGGAGGGAUUGACAUAGUAAAGGAGGCUAAACAAAGCUAUCAAAGGGAUGUGCCCAGGAAUAUCCUUCUUUCGUACCCAAGAGGGGAACUCUUUCUAAUAGGAGCAAUUCAAGCAUUAAUUAGUACUACCUCAGAUCUAAAAGGAAAGGAAGGAGAAGUAUAGGGAAGUGUGCCUAAAGAGACUUUCUUCUGUUCUAGGUGAGAACUCUAGGUCUAGGAGUCAAAAAGAGGUGGAACUUCUAUAUUAUAUACGCUAUUUCGCGCUGAGCGAGGCUGCUUUCCCUCCUUACCAACCAGAUAGAAGUAUUAUAUAAGCAGAAG
rnacentral:lncRNA from 1 species